GUUACGAUCAAAUUAUUAUUUAACAGACAAGGCGAGGACAGGUGUAUUGUUUUUGUGUGUUAUUUAUCUUAAAUGCCGGUAAAUUAUUAGACUAAUGUUUAAAAAUAAUGUGCUCACUUGGAAGGUUUUUAGUGAAGCUUGCACAGGAAGAAAACAGUAGUGAUACUGAAAACCACUGCCCCAAUACGAGCUUAAAACAAGCAUUAGCACGCUCCCCAAUUUUUGAUGGAAGUGAUUUUGAUCCCGGAUUUGAUGAAGUAGAUCUUGCUGUAUUAUUAUUAUGGUACUACUUAAGAUGGAUUACCUGUGCAUGAAGAGAUGGCUACUUCUGCAAAUGUACAGUAUUUAGAAAAUACUGAUGGGGAUAUUCUGGCUAUACAUACUAAAGAGCUUGAAGAUGAAGCUAAUGAAGAAACAACUUCAAUGGAAACGACUGUUUUAAAGGAAGUGAAUUUAUCCGUAACUAUAGAAAGUAAUGUCGCUGAACAACUUCAAACUGAUGCUGAAAAAAAUAUAUCACCCGGUAGAAAAAAGUUUAGAAAUGAGAAUAAUUGGAAAUAGCUAAAAAAUUGGAAGUUAAAAUAGCUAAAAAAAGAAGAAAUACAGGUCAAGAAUAUACGUCUUACACUACCAAAAAAAUUGUUAAGGCUAGAAAAAUCAAAGAAAGUUGUGUAAAGAAAAAAUGUCGAAUGGAAUGUUACCAGAAGAUUUCAGAAGAUCAGCGAAAAAACAUUUUUUGUAAAUUCUGAAAACUAAGAAAUCAUGAUAAACACAUGGACUUUUUAUCAAAGCACGUUAAAAAAUGCAAAAGAAGGCAGAAACAGUGAAAACAAAUUCAAGACGUCAAUUUAUAAUGGAGUAUUAUUUUACAGUGGAUGAACUCAUCAUUAAAGUAUGCAAAACUUUUUUUUUAAACACGCUCAGUAUUACUGACAUCUGGAUAAGAACUGUAAUGCUUAAGUUAGAUAGAAACACGAUUGGAAUAGGAAGUCCAGAUGGCAGAGGCAGAGUCACAAGUACAGAUCUAAAAGUUGAAGCUACCAGGAAAUUUAUAAGGCAGCACAUUGAGUGUCUUCCCAUAACCGAGUCACAUUAUAUACGUAAGUAAGGUCAAAUCGUACAUACCUACAAGUUGAUAUACAGUCCAUAGCACAGAUGUAUAGACUGUACUUAGAAUGGGCCAAGGAAAAAAUAUUAGUCCGAUUGCUACUUGCAGACAGUAUCGGUAUGUCUUUGAGCAUGAGUUUAAUAUAGGGUUUUUUUUACCAAAAAAAGACCAGUGCGAGGUUUGCGAUAAGUUUUUAUUGGCAGAUGACGGCAAAAGAGAAGAACUCGAAGAAGAAAAAAGAAGACACCAAGCCAACAAAGACGCCGUAAGAAAAUUAAAGGAAAAGGACAAGGAGCAGACAAAAGAUGAUAAAUCAUUAAUUAACGUCGCCUGUUAUGAUUUACAAAAAAUUUUAGUUACCCCACACAAAGAUGUCAGCAUUUUUUAUUACAAAUUAAAAUAUACUACGUAUAAUUUAACGAUUUUUGAAGUUGGAAAUAUUAAAGGGCAUUGCUAUCUCUGGCACGAGACAAUUGCAAAACGAGGAGCUAAUGAAAUUGGAAGUUUUGUGUUGGAUUACAUUAAAAAUUAAAAACAGAAUGGUGUCGAUACUUUUGUGUUUUACACAGAUAAUUGCGCUGGUCAAAACAGGAAUCGGUUUGUUUAUGCCAUGUAUGUGUACGCAGCGGAAAAAUAUAGCGUAAAUAUUACACACCGUUUACUGGAAAAAGGCCAUACGCAGAACGAGGGAAACAGUGUCCAUGCUCUUAUAGAGCGACAGAAAAAGGGUAAAGUAAUUUACACACCAGAGCAGUGGAUUAUGCUUAUAAAAAUGGCAAAAGUUACAGGUGAACCAUAUAUUGUUAUAGAAGUCAGUCAAGAUAUGGUUUAUGACUUAAAGGGACUAGUAACACCCGAAAGAAACUGGAAAACAGAUCAAAAUGAAAAAACUAUAAGAUAGAAUGAUAUAAAAGAAAUUGAAAUAUUAUCUGACGACCCUUUGCAAAUAAAAAUUAAAUAUGAUUUUGUCGAUGAGAAUAACCAUUGCUUGCUAGAUUUAAAGAAGAAAACCAUUAGUAAGAGAAUGAAACUAAAGUUAAGUUGCCAAAACAAGGGAUUAGGCAAGGCUUAUGAAGGCCCACUUAAAAUCUCCAAUAAAAAGUUCGAUCAUUUACAAUUCCUAUGCAAAAAUGGGAUCCCCGAUUUAUAUCAUAAUUUUUACCAAAACCUUCCCCAUGGAGAUAAUGAGGAAAAUGAAGAUUCUGACUGAAAAUUUAUUCCACUUCUGUCGAAAAAGUAGUUGAUUUUUAUGUUCAUUUAUUUAUUUGUAUUUUCUAAAAUAAAUAUUUUUUCUCUUUA
rnacentral:lncRNA from 1 species